rnacentral:rRNA from 1 species
CAAGGAGCUUUCUGUGAAGCUGGCGCGUGAGCGAUCCGGUGGAGAGAUCACUAGUGAGAAUGAUGACAUGAGUAGCGACAAGGAGGGUGAGAGACCCUCCCGCCGAAAGUCCAAGGGUUCCUGCUUAAAGCUAAUCUGAGCAGGGUAAGCCGACCCCUAAGGCGAGGCCGAAAGGCGUAGUCGAUGGGAACCAGGUUAAUAUUCCUGGGCCAGAUGGAAGUGACGGAUCUCGAGGGUAGUUCAUCCUUAUCGGAUUGAAUGGGCUGCUUAGAGGUUCCAGGAAAUAGCCCUCCAUGAGAUCGUACCCUAAACCGACACAGGUGGACUGGUAGAGAAUACCAAGGCGCUUGAGAGAACUCGGGUGAAGGAACUAGGC